GAUGAACGCUAGCGGCAGGCCUAAUACAUGCAAGUCGAACGGUGUAGCAAUACACAGUGGCGCACGGGUGCGUAACACGUAUGCAACCUACCUUACAUUGGGGGAUAGCCUUUCGAAAGGGAGAUUAAUACCGCAUAAGACAGUAACUGGGCAUCUAGUAGCUGUUAAAGAUUUAUCGAUGUAAGCUGGGCAUGCGUCCAAUUAGUUAGUUGGUGAGGUAACGGCUCACCAAGACGAUGAUUGGUAGGGGAACUGAGAGGUCAAUCCCCCACACUGGCACUGAGAUACGGGCCAGACUCCUACGGGAGGCAGCAGUAGGGAAUAUUGGGCAAUGGACGCAAGUCUGACCCAGCCAUGCCGCGUGCAGGAUGAAGGCGUUAUGCGUUGUAAACUGCUUUUAUACAGGAAGAAACGACUCUUGCGAGAGGCAUUGACGGUACUGUAUGAAUAAGCACCGGCUAACUCCGUGCCAGCCGCCGCCGUAAUAC
rnacentral:rRNA from 1 species